CUCAGCAUUUAAAUUGCACUUUGCUAAUCUUGUUUGAUCUCAGGACCUAAGCAGGCUUGAUGCUGAUUAGGACUUGGGUGGGAGACCACCCGGCAACACUGGGUGCUGCAGGGC
rnacentral:rRNA from 1 species